rnacentral:rRNA from 1 species
CCUGAGAAACCCAAAAGAUCGAAUGGGGAGAUUCAUCGUCAGCUCAUUUUGUAUAUAUAUAAGUUAUGAUAUGGGUUACUACUUGUAGUAUUGCUUGUACAUUCUUGUAUAUUUAAUUGCAAGAUGUUGUCGGCGUGCACUUCUCCCCUAGUAGGACGUCGCGACCCGUUGAGUGUUGGUUUACGGCCCAAGUGGUAGUCUUUAAUUCGAUUGAAUUAAAGACCCUUGGUGUUUCCUAACUAACUACUCGGCGGUAUUCGUACGGUAUUAAGCCGCAUUUAUGCGUUCAUAAUCGUCGCAAGCGCGGUCAAUUUUUGGUAGUACGGACCUAGUGCCGUCGCUAUAAUUGAUCAGCUGUUGGUUGUACGGUAUUCUAGAACUGGCUUUUUAUAUAUACCGGUCAGCGAUGCUACUGCUUUGGGU